UACGGGGGGGGCAAGCGUUGUUCGGAAUUACUGGGCGUAAAGGGUUCGUAGGUGGCUUGCUAAGUCAGACGUGAAAUCCCUCAGCUUAACCGGGGAACUGCGUCUGAUACUGGAUGGCUUGAGUUUGGGAGAGGGAUGCGGAAUUCCAGGUGUAGCGGUGAAAUGCGUAGAUAUCUGGAGGAACACCGGUGGCGAAGGCGGCAUCCUGGACCAAUACUGACACUGAGGAGCGAAAGCCAGGGGAGCAAACGGG
rnacentral:rRNA from 1 species